GAUCCCUGACCUUGCUCAGUAGGUUAAGGAUCUGGCGUUGCCGUGUGCUGUUGUGUAGGUUGCAGAUGUGGCUCAGAUUCUUCAUUGCGGUGGCUCUGGUGUAGGCCAGCGGCUAUAGCUCUAAUUCGACCCCUAGCUGGGAACCUCCAUAUGCCACAGAAGCGGNAAAAAAAAAAAAAAAAAAAAAAAAAAGAAAGAAAGAAAGAAAGAAAAAGAAAUAAAACAUUGUCGCUGUGGACUGAUGGAUGGACUAUAAGGUACUUUUAUAUAUUGUUGUAUACCUAAUACACGUGCUUCUAGGCCUUGCUUUGAUUAGGAAAGGCAGGAUCCUGAUAGUCACAUGUGUGCAUUUAUACAUAAGGCUUGUCCUGCUGUUGUAACAGAACCACACAUGGGUAAAACUUACUGAUGGUGAAUACUAUUCUUCUUUGUGGCCAAGACUUCCUGGAAUAUAAUCCCCAACUAAAUAGAGGGUGCUAAAGUGAAAUUUAGUGUUCAACUGAAUGAUAACCUUUUCUAGAGAUUUUGGGAGUAUUUAUACUGAAAUUUACAAGGGCACAUUAUCUGGUCUUGUUAUUAAAAUCACCCUUGACUCUUUUCUUCCUUAUACCCACACAUGGUAUGUUGGUAAAUCCUGUCUCCUCUGCCUUCUCUUAUGACUGAGAAUAUAUAAAGUCUCAAUGGACAAUAUGACAGUAUUUAAUAGUAUAACAUACAUGUAAUUAGAGUCCCAGAGGAAAAAGAAAGAAAGGUACAGAAAAAAACAUGUUUAAAGAAAUACUGGAUGAAAUUUUUCAAACUUCAUUAAAAAGAGCAUGAUAGAGAUGCAGGACCCUCAGUUAGCCCAAAACAGCAGAUCCUUAACCACUGAGCUAGGCCAGGGAUUGAACCUGCAACUUCAUGGUUCCUUGUCACAUUCGUUUCUGCUGUGCCACGACGGGAACUCUUUUUAUUUUUAUUUUUUUGACAUAGGUUUAUUGCUUUCAGCCAAAGGGGGCCACAGCAGGCUAAUGCCUUAAUGACUGUGCCCUCCCUGCCCCCGGGAUAGGAGGUGGUGUUAUAAGAGCCAGUGGAAAAUAGGGCCAUAGAUAAGGAUCAGGGUAGAGGCAAACUUGUAUUGUCUUUCAAAGCUGGUGUUACUGGCCCCCAGGACUGGUUCUGGUGGUCUUCCUUCUUGGAAUGAAGAAUGCUUCCUCAAGUAGUACUUCCCUUUGUUGCAGGGGGGAUCCAGUUCUGCAGAAAAACUCAAAGAUAUUGCUGUAUAUAUUCUUUAAGGAGGAACCUGGACGCUUCCCCAAGGCUGCACUUUUGUCUCUUGACUGCUCCUCCCUGGUCUCUGCAUCCUCUCCCUUCCCUGAUUAGCAACUGCCCUUUGGAACUCAGGGAAGGUCGUGGAGGCUGAAGCUUAUUACCUAUAACAAGAAAUGGAGGACACAGAAAGGCUUGUGUGCCUAGGAGCCCCAUGGCACUAGCUCAGUUACGCUUACAGAUGACCUUUGUUCCAGCCAAAUGGGGAGACUUGCCACCUCCAAACACAGCCAUGUGCUCUGCAUGCUGGCUCUCCAAGAGCCACCAAGGUCACCUCCUGCUCCAGACCUUCUGCUCCCCCCGCACCCCAUCUAUUGAAGACUCCAGUUACAGCUCUGUGUUUCUCUUUUAACCCUGCAGCUGGUAUGCCUUCUGUUGUCACCAUGUGCUUGGUUCAUUUCAACAAAAAAGCUACCUUAAUUUCCAUGCGCAGUUAUAAACCCUCAGGGUAAGGACUGGGUAUUUUUUUUUUUCUUUGGGCCGCACCUGCGGCACAUGGAAGUUCCCAGGCUAAAGGUCUAAUCAGAACUACAGCUGUG
rnacentral:lncRNA from 1 species